AUGGUGGCGAAAGUAAGAAGGAAAAGUUGAUAGAGAUUAAAAAUAUAAUAGAAUUGAAAAGGUAGAAGGGAUAGUACUGUAAAGGAAAUAUAAAAUUAGAAGAAGUAAAGAUGAUACCUUUUGUAUUAGGGUUUAUUAAAAAAAUUAAAUUAUGUUAGUUUCUCGAAAAGAGUUGAGUUUUUCUUAAUUAAGGGGAAUUGUUGAAGAACUUCCCUAAAGAUAAGAAAAGGGGUGAAAUGUGAAUAGAAACUUUUAUUUCUAGUUAAAAAAAUAUUAUUAUAUAUAAGUUUAAUAGUGGUUGAAUAUGAAUAUAUACAUAUGGUUAUUAAAUACAGCAAUAGGGGAUAAGCUUUAUUGGGGGGUAUAAAGAGAGGUAGGAGAGAUAUGAAGGUUUAAAAAUUACUGAGUUUUACUAUAAAAAAAUUAAGUUUUGAAGAAACAUUACUAUAAAAAAUAAUAUACGAGACGGGAGGUAUAUGAAAUGAUGAUAAAAUAAGUAUAAAAUAAAAAUUUUUGUAAAGAAUUAGGCAAAGAUUUUUUCCAGCUGUUUACCAAAAACAUUUUUUUUUGAUGUUAUAAAAAAUAAGUUCUGCUCAAUGUGAAGAUAUAAAUUGCUGUGGUAACUUGACUGCACGAAGGUAUUGAAAUAAGGCCUUAAAUGGGAGCUAAGAGAAUGGGAGAAUGGAUGAGAACUUUUUUUUAAAAAAAAGUUGAAUUUAAUUUUUUUCUAAAAAAUUAGAAAUAAAAAAGUAAGACAAGAAGACCCUAUAAAUCUUAAUUAAUUAAAAGUUAAUUUAAUUGGGGCAAUUAAAAAAUAUUAAAAAAUUUUAUUAAGAAAGUAAAUAAAAAUAAUGGAGAAGAUACUUUAGGGAUAACAGCGUUAUUAUUUUGGAAAGGCCAUAUUGAUAAAAUAGUUUGCGACCUCGAUGUUGAAUUAAUGGACCUAUUUUAUGAAGAAGUAAAAUAAGGUAGAUUGCUCAUCUAUUAAAUCAUUACAUGAUUUGAGUUCAGACCGACGAAAGUCAGGUUGGUUUCUAUCUACUAAAAAAUAAAUUUCUUCUUAGUACGAAAGGAAUGGAAGAAGGUUAUUAUA
rnacentral:rRNA from 1 species